AUCUAGCUGAUGAGUCCCAAAUGGGACGAAACGCUCGUCCUGGAU
rnacentral:hammerhead_ribozyme from 1 species